rnacentral:tRNA from 1 species
GCGCCGGUGGUGUAAUGGCGUAGAACAUUCCCGCUCGGUCAGCAGGAGGUGUGGGUUCGAGCUCUGCCUGGCGCA